AUUUUACAGAAGGGGGAACUGAGGCUCAGUAGGAUAAUGUGAUUUGUUCAAGGUCACACAGCUAGUAAGUGGUGCAGCCAGGAUUGGAACCCAAGCAUCUGGCUCCAGCGUUCUUUCUUAAGCUUCCUAGGGCACCCUGGAGGUUCCUUUCCAUGUUCCUUUUUCAUAAGCCCUGCCUGGGCAUCCUAAUUGGCCUAGCCUGCACAGUGUCUGAGCGUAGGGCCUUCUUGUCUCUCUGCUCCAGGUCUGUGGGGUGUGGCGGGCAGUGCCUCGGUUGUCUCUGCGGCUCCUUAGGGCAGAACAGCUGCAUGUGGCACUUGUGACACUCACUCACCCUUCAGGGGAGGUCUGGGGGCCUCUCAUCCGGCACCGGGCCCUGGCUGCAGAGACCUUCAGUGCCAUCCUGACUCUAGAAGGCCCCCCACAGCAGGGCGUAGGGGGCAUCACCCUGCUCACUCUCAGUGACACAGAGGACUCCUUGCAUUUUUUGCUGCUCUUCCGAGGGCUGCUGGAACCCAGGAGUGGGGGUAAGUGGGAUGGGGGCAAAACACGUGAGAAGGUUAGGGAGAGCACCUGUCUCAGAAAGGCCCACAUGUGCGGCCUUGCAGGACUAACCCAGGUUCCCUUGAGGCUCCAGAUUCUACACCAGGGGCAGCUACUGCGAGAACUUCAGGCCAAUGUCU
rnacentral:lncRNA from 10 species